UACGUAGGGCGCAAGCGUUGUUCGGAAUCACUGGGCGUAAAGCGCGUGCAGGCGGCUUGGUAAGUCGGAUGUGAAAUCCCGGAGCUCAACUCCGGAACUGCACCCGAUACUGCCUCGCUAGAGUCCCGGAGAGGAUGGCGGAAUUUCCGGUGUAGAGGUGAAAUUCGUAGAUAUCGGAAGGAACACCAGCGGCGAAGGCGGCCAUCUGGACGGUGACUGACGCUCAGACGCGAAAGCGCGGGGAGCAAACAGG
rnacentral:rRNA from 1 species